GAGGGAGGAAUGGGCGGGGUCCUCAGGUGCCCGGCGACGUCAUCCAGCCCCCAAGGCUCCAGGACGCAAAGGGUCCCCUGAUCUGGCAGUCCCUGGACCUACCCUGGAGAGCGUGGGGGGACAAAGGCCGGACGCGCCGCCCGCUGCCGCCUCCAGGAAGCCCUCCCUUGCCAGGACAGUGGAGUUGGCCGGGUCCUUCCAAAGUGCCUACGGAAAGCUUUGUCCCAUCCUUGAAAAAUUGCUAAUGGGUUUGGAGAUACGAGGUGGAGAUGACUAGCAAUCAAACUCAAAGGUGGAAGUCACAUCGAGGCAGAUGAGCAGAUGAGGGGACCUAGAGAAGAAGAGAGGUGCAAGGAGAGCCCAGCCAGCAGGAACAUCUGCCCCAGUAGGCAGCACUGCCCCACAUCAGAGUCGAGGAAAGCAAAGCUCGGAUUGGAUAAAAGAAACUUGCAAACACGGUCAGUGCUUACUGCAUGUGGGCUCAGAGCACGUUACCCUCCUUCCCUGCAUGUUCCUGUGAAACGGGUUUACUGCUCUAACUCUCAGGGACACUGUGAAGACCAAACGAGAAAAUAGAAACAAACAUAAUUUAUAAACCAUAAAGUACUGACACCAAAAGAGGGGCGAGCACAGCAU
rnacentral:lncRNA from 1 species